UACCAUGGUGGUAACGGGUAACGGGGUGUUAGGGCACGACACCGGAGAGGGAGCCUGAGAAACGGCUACCACAUCCAAGGAAGGCAGCAGGCGCGCAAAUUACCCAAUCCCGACACGGGGAGGUAGUGACAAUAAAUAACAAUACAGGGCUCUUUUGGGUCUUGUAAUUGGAAUGAGUACAAUUUAAAUCACUUAACGAGGAACAAUUGGAGGGCAAGUCUGGUGCCAGCAGCCGCGGUAAUUCCAGCUCCAAUAGCGUAUAUUAAAGUUGUUGCAGUUAAAAAGCUCGUAGUUGAAUUUCGGGGUCAGUAGGUCGGUCGUGCCACUGGUAUGAACUGGUUUUACUGAUUCCUCCCUCUUGAAGAACUGUAAUGCCAUUAAUUUGGUGUUGCAGGGAAUCAGGACUGUUACUUUGAAAAAAUUAGAGUGUUUAAAGCAGGCUUUAGCUUGAAUACAUUAGCAUGGAAUAAUGAAAUAGGACGUUUGAUCCUAUUUUGUUGGUUUCUAGGAUUGACGUAAUGAUUAAUAGGGAUAGUUGGGGGCAUUAGUAUUCAAUUGUCAGAGGUGAAAUUCUUGGAUUUAUUGAAGACUAACUACUGCGAAAGCAUUUGCCAAGGAUGUUUUCAUUAAUCAAGAACGAAAGUUAGGGGAUCGAAGACGAUCAGAUACCGUCGUAGUCUUAACCAUAAACUAUGCCGACUAGGGAUCGGAUGAUGUUAAUUUUUUAAUGACUCAUUCGGCGCCUUACGGGAAACCAAAGUGUUU
rnacentral:rRNA from 1 species